UACGUUAUGAAUAAAAGAAUGGGUGCAUGGAGUCUUCUGCUCUUACCCCCAGCAUCUCUGUGUUGGGUGAGAGAAAACAAACAGCGUCAUUAACAUAAAACUGCUACAGAACUGUGCCUCAAAGGAAGUGGUGAGUAAAUAUCCAAAUAAACCAACACUUUGAUGUUUUCAAUGUGGAGAGAUGAGCGGCAGAAAAGACAGAGGAUGAAGGCGUCCAAGAGAAUUAGGAGUAGUUUUUAUUUUCUUAACUUUUCUGCUUUUUGAACAGUUCUGGAAAGAGAAAAAUGAUUUCAACAACAUUUUACAAAGAAUAAGUGAGCUAGUUUGUUUUAUCUCAAAGCCUGCAUUUCAAAAUGUGUAAAUGUAGGUGAAGACUUCCUCUGAAGGAACAAGAAAUAGUAAAAUGGUGCCUGAUAGUUCUUUUGUCUAUUUACCCCAGAAGUCUGAAACACAAUGGACAUCAAAACUGCCUGUUAAAUAACCUGUCCUUUCAGCUUCUUUAUAACUCAAAAUUUUCACCACGAGCAGAACGGCACUGCUGCAGAACGGCAGUGAUAUUCGCUGUCCACCAAUUCCGACUGGAUUUCGUGGCGAAUUUCAGUCAGCAGGAAUCGCUAGGACUUACAAGAACCUGCGGAUUCACGUGCAAUCAUGCGAUAACGAGUUGUCUCUCAAAAGACAUUAACAUAACCACAUAAGCAGUAGAUUGUGUCCUUUCAGAGGAGGAAAUCCACUCUAUCCAGACCAGUGGAUCAGACACUUUUGUGUAGAUUAGGAAUUAACCGUGGGUAAGUGUAAUAAACCAUGUUUGCACAGUGAGAAAUACGAUUCGCCUGAAACAUGUUGUUUUUUCUAUUUUGAUGUUUUAUUUUGUGUCUGUGCCUGACUUCCUUUCCAGCAUGGGUUAAUCUGUGCUGAAUUUAUGCAGCAUGUUGCGGCGUCCAGAAAAAAAUAGAACCCUGGCGAUCAACUAUGAAGCCCAUUGAACUGCAGGGGACUGGAAAGAAGCUGGUGGAAAUUCACACAUUAAAUUGGAUGGAAACGGUUGGCAGCCAACAGCCUUUUCGCCACUGUUCCGCAUGCGGUGGAAAUUUGGGGUAAGUUGUGACAUACUUUAACUCUGCUCAUCACACAGCAAGAGCAGUGUGAGAGCGACACUUUGCGACGAGAUUAACCUGCUGCAUAGAGGACUAAUAUUCUCACAGAAAAGGAUCUGGAAUAUUAUAAUUACCAGUAUAUUAGUUGUGUAUGCUUAUGCUUUUGUGAGUGUGUGCACAAUGAUGGAAAAAAAUUGUAAAAAAAUGAAUCACACUGCAGAAUGCUUGGUGACACAAUCCAAGAGAUCCCACACAGUCUGCCAACCAUGGUGGCUCAAUACAGU